GGCACUUCAUACCCCCCUAGAGGAGCCUGUUCUAGAACCGAUAACCCCCGUUAAACCUUACCUUUCCUAGCAUUCAGCCUAUAUACCGCCGUCGUCAGCCCACCCUGUGAAGGUUACACAGUGAGCGAGAAUGGAAUAUCCCAAAACGUCAGGUCGAGGUGUAGUCCAUGGAAAGGGCCAGAAAUGGGCUACAAUUGUUAUUUUAACUAACACGAAUUGCAACACUGAAAAACAAGCAUGAAGGAGGAUUUAGGAGUAAGAGGGGAAUAGAGUGCCCCUCUGAAACGGCCCUGAAGUGUGUACACACCGCCCGUCACUCUCCCCGACAAAUUAUAUAAAUGUAUAAAUAAACCGUUACUAAAAUAAAGGGGAGACAAGUCGUAACAAGGUAAGGGUACCGGAAGGUGCCCUUGGAUAAAUA
rnacentral:rRNA from 1 species